rnacentral:lncRNA from 1 species
CCCGGGCCCCUCCGUCGCAUCCUUACAGAGGCCUAGGCGGAACUGAGAUUGAAGACCAUUCGAGAUAAGAGAUUGAACUGGUCAGUUCCAAGCCACUGACCGGUCACGUGAGUGGCGCCGCCACAGGGAAGGACAUCACAGGGCAGACUGGGAGCAGUUGCUCUGGGACACUGGUAAUGCUGGGGGCCACUAGCUAAACUGGGAGAGGCCACUGCUGGCCACUCGGUGUAAAAUCCACGACGCAAGCCCAGGCUACUUGCCAUCGUGGAAAUGAGUCUCAAGGCCCCGGGUAGAAUGAAGGGGAGCGGGUCCGCGAUUGUCCGCUGAGAUGCCAGUUCGGGACAUCCACUGGCCAGACUGGUUGGUCAGGGUCCCCCGCCGCAGGCGCUGCUCCGCAGAAGCGGG